rnacentral:rRNA from 1 species
GAUCAUGGCUCAGGACGAACGCUGGCGGCGUGCUUAACACAUGCAAGUCGAACGAUGAAGCCCAGCUUGCUGGGUGGAUUAGUGGCGAACGGGUGAGUAACACGUGAGUAACCUGCCCCUGACUCUGGGAUAAGCGUUGGAAACGACGUCUAAUACUGGAUAUGACUACUGGUCGCAUGGCCUGGUGGUGGAAAGAUUUUUUGGUUGGGGAUGGACUCGCGGCCUAUCAGCUUGUUGGUGAGGUAAUGGCUCACCAAGGCGACGACGGGUAGCCGGCCUGAGAGGGUGACCGGCCACACUGGGACUGAGACACGGCCCAGACUCCUACGGGAGGCAGCAGUGGGGAAUAUUGCACAAUGGGCGAAAGCCUGAUGCAGCAACGCCGCGUGAGGGAUGACGGCCUUCGGGUUGUAAACCUCUUUUAGUAGGGAAGAAGCGAAAGUGACGGUACCUGCAGAAAAAGCACCGGCUAACUACGUGCCAGCAGCCGCGGUAAUACGUAGGGUGCAAGCGUUGUCCGGAAUUAUUGGGCGUAAAGAGCUCGUAGGCGGUUUGUCGCGUCUGCUAUGAAAUCCCGAGGCUCAACCUCGGGCUUGCAGUGGGUACGGGCAGACUAGAGUG